UGCUGAAGCAGGUCAAGCUACCAUUGUG
rnacentral:piRNA from 1 species